AGUGAACGCUGGCGGUAGGCCUAACACAUGCAAGUCGAACGGCAGCACAGUAAGAGCUUGCUCUUACGGGUGGCGAGUGGCGGACGGGUGAGGAAUACAUCGGAAUCUACUUUUUCGUGGGGGAUAACGUAGGGAAACUUACGCUAAUACCGCAUACGACCUACGGGUGAAAGCAGGGGAUCUUCGGACCUUGCGCGAUUGAAUGAGCCGAUGUCGGAUUAGCUAGUUGGCGGGGUAAAGGCCCACCAAGGCGACGAUCCGUAGCUGGUCUGAGAGGAUGAUCAGCCACACUGGAACUGAGACACGGUCCAGACUCCUACGGGAGGCAGAAGUGGGGAAUAUUGGACAAUGGGCGCAAGCCUGAUCCAGACAUACCGCGUGAGUGAAGAAGGACUUCGGGUUGUAAAGCCCUUUUGUUGGGAAAGAAAAGCAGCAGGUUAAUACCCCGCUGUUCUGACGGUACCCAAAGAAUAAGCACCGGCUAACUUCGUG
rnacentral:rRNA from 1 species